rnacentral:tRNA from 1 species
GGGAGUAUAGCUCAAUGGUAGAGUGCUUGCCUCGUAAUGCAUAAAGGCCUGGUUUUGAUUCCCAGCACUGCCU